GGCUUGAUAUUUCGGAAAUAUGGGACCUUGAACGUCCCUCUUAGAUGUUCAACUCAUCUUCAAGCCU
rnacentral:tRNA from 1 species